rnacentral:snoRNA from 1 species
CUCCAUGUCCUAGGACUACUGUGGCAGUCUCAUUUCCUGGCCAUGGAAGAGCAUCUUCUUGUUUAUUGACAAAGCCAACACCAUUUAUCUGGUGUCAGACUCUGACUUNCAGCAUUC